GACGAACGCUGGCGGCGUGCUUAACACAUGCAAGUCGAGCGGUAAGGCCCUUUCGGGGGUACACGAGCGGCGAACGGGUGAGUAACACGUGGGUGACCUGCCCUCAGCUCUGGGAUAAGCCUGGGAAACUGGGUCUAAUACCGGAUAUGACUCCAUGACGCAUGUUGUGGGGUGGAAAGCCUUGUGCGGCUAGGGAUGGGCCUGCGGCCUAUCAGCUUGUUGGUGGGGUGANGGCCUACCAAGGCGACGACGGGUAGCCGGCCUGAGAGGGCGACCGGCCACACUGGGACUGAGACACGGCCCAGACUCCUACGGGAGGCAGCAGUGGGGAAUCUUGCGCAAUGGGCGAAAGCCUGACGCAGCGACGCCGCGUGGGGAUGACGGCCUGGUGUAACU
rnacentral:rRNA from 1 species